rnacentral:tRNA from 1 species
AAAAUUUUAAGUUAAAGAAACUAGUAGCCUUCAAAGCUAUCAAUAUAAGUUGUACUCUUUUAAGUUUUA